rnacentral:rRNA from 1 species
CAGCAGCCGCGGGAAUACAGAGGGUGCGAGCGUUAAUCGGAUUUACUGGGCGUAAAGCGUGCGUAGGCGGCUUCUUAAGUCGGAUGUGAAAUCCCAGGGCUUAACCUUGGAACUGCAUUUUUAACUCCCGGACUAGAGUAUGUCAGAGGGGGGUGGAAUUCCACGUGUAGCAGUGAAAUGCGUAGAUACGUGGAGGAACACCGAUGGCGAAGGCAGCCACCUGGGAUAAUACUGACGCCCAUGCACGAAAGCGUGGGGAGCAAACAGGAUUAGAUACCCCAGUAGUCCCUGUCUCUUAUAC